rnacentral:rRNA from 1 species
UACGUAGGGUGCGAGCGUUAAUCGGAAUUACUGGGCGUAAAGCGUGCGCAGGCGGUGAUGUAAGACAGGUGUGAAAUCCCCGGGCUUAACCUGGGAACUGCAUUUGUGACUGCAUCGCUGGAGUGCGGCAGAGGGGGGGAUGGAAUUCCGCGUGUAGCAGUGAAAUGCGUAGAUAUGCGGAGGAACACCGAUGGCGAAGGCAAUCCCCUGGGCCUGCACUGACGCUCAUGCACGAAGCGUGGG